UACGAAGGGGGCUAGCGUUGUUCGGAAUUACUGGGCGUAAAGCGCACGCAGGCGGCUCAAUAAAUUAGAAGUGAAAGCCCCGGGCUUAACCUGGGAAUUGCUUUUAAGACUGUCGGGCUAGAAUCCAGAAGAGGGUAGUGGAAUUCCGAGUGUAGAGGUGAAAUUCGUAGAUAUUCGGAAGAACACCAGUGGCGAAGGCGACUACCUGGUCUGGCAUUGACGCUCAUGUGCGAAAGCGUGGGGAGCAAACAGG
rnacentral:rRNA from 1 species